rnacentral:rRNA from 1 species
UAAUACGUAGGAGGCGAGCGUUAUCCGGAUUUACUGGGCGUAAAGGGGGCGUAGGCGGCUUUUCAAGUUGGAUGUGAAAUCUCCCUGCUUAACGGGGAGGGGUCAUUCAAUACUGUUAGGCUAGAGGGCAGCAGAGGAAGGUGGAAUUCCCGGUGUAGUGGUGAAAUGCGUAGAUAUCGGGAGGAACACCAGUGGCGAAGGCGGCCUUCUGGGCUGUUCCUGACGCUGAGGCCCGAAAGCGCGGGGAGCGAACAGGAUUAGAUACCCUGGUAGUCCGCGCAGUAAACGAUGGACACUUGGUAUAGGGAGUAUCGACCCUCUCUGUGCCUUAGUUAACGCGUUAAGUGUCCCGCCUGGGGAGUACGGCCGCAAGGCUA